rnacentral:rRNA from 1 species
AAUGAACGCUGGCGGUAGGCUUAACACAUGCAAGUCGAACGGCAGCACAGUAAUAGCUUGCUCUUACGGGUGGCGAGUGGCGGACGGGUGAGGAAUACAUCGGAAUCUACUUUUUCGUGGGGGAUAACGUAGGGAAACUUACGCUAAUACCGCAUACCACCUACGGGUGAAAGCAGGGGAUCUUCGGACCUUGCGCGAUUGAAUGAGCCGAUGUCGGAUUAGUUAGUUGGCGGGGUAAAGGCCCACCAAGGCGACGAUCCGUAGCUGGUCAGAGAGGAUGGUCAGCCACACUGGAACUGAGACGCGGUCCAGACUACUACGGGAGGGAGCAGAGGGGAAUAGUAGAUAGGGGGCGGGAGCCUGGUCCAGCCAUACCGAGUGGGUGGAGAAGGCCCUGGGGUUGUAAAGCCCUUUUGUUGGGAAAGAAAAGCAGCAGGUUAAUACCCCGCUGUUCUGACGGUACCGAAAGAAUAAGCACCGGCUAACUUCGUG